UGGGAGAGACGUACAUAGUAGCAGAAAGCAGCAGAAGUAGCAGAAAGCUGUGACAAAAGUAUCACAGGGUGCUGAUCAGAGUCCUCUAAAUCAGUGGAGAAACCAGCUGGAAACCCUUCCAUGUUACCAGAGGAGUUCAGAAGCAUUGCAAGAAAGCAGUCAUCAAAGUCUAAUACAACAAAGAUUUGUGAUGGAGAGAGCCAUCUGCAUCCAGAAAGAGGACUUUGGGGAUGGAAUGUGGAUCACAACAUGGUUUUAUGCCUGAGAGGAAGUCAAAUACAAAAUUGAUUUCCAUCUCCAAGAUCAAACUCCAGUUGAUGAGCGGGAAUAAAAUGGCCUUUCAAUAAACAGACUAACUUAGGUGGGCCAUAAUGAUUAUCCUUUCCUUGUUGUUUAACUAUAGGCCUGAGAUGAAAAGAAAGAGACAACAGCUAAAAAGCAUGUGUGCUGUGUUCCAAACUUGUUUGCAAAUUGAUUUGUGUAUCUUAAGUUGAAGACUGGCAUAGCCAUAUAAAGUAUUAAUUUUCAA